GUCCCGCUCUUCCGGCCCGACGGCGCCGCUGACUGGCCCAAGCUCAGCCAAUCACACGCCGUCUUUUAGGUAUGUGCCCUCAUCUGACGGCUGACUGGUCCCUGGCGGCACGGGCUCGAGGACGUAGGGUCGGCAGGUCGGACCGAGGCGGAGCGUAGCUGGAUUCCCGGGCUGGAGCGGGGUUCAGAAUCUCUGCCCGGGUCUCCGGCGCUGAAUGGUGAAAAGGCAGUGGCCCCCGGCCGGGCGUAACUCGUGGCGCCCUCAGGCCGCCGGUUGCCUCUCUCAAGUUCCGACGGAGCGGUGCGCACUGCAUCUCACGUGGUGGCCGCCUAGCCAGCCCAGGCCUGGACGCUGCGGUCCCGACGGUGCCUGCCUGCGUGGCCCCGAGUCCCCGCGCUAUGCGCGGUCGCUGGACGCGAGACUGGCCGCGCGUCUUUACAGACCGGAUGAGGUCUGCCUCUCCGUGUUGUUCUGCUUUAUCCCAGACUCCAGUUUCCAACUCUUGCAAACGAGUUUACCCCCACCUUUUAGUAUUUUCAUGCCGACUGUAAUAUUCUCCGUUAAUCCAGUGUUUGCCCAAACCAACACGAGUAACUAACCCUGACGGGCGGCACCCCGAUGGGCUGCCUCCUAGCCGUGGAGCGAACAGGAUGCGCCCGGGCACUGCUCAGGUUUUUUGGCUCCGCUGCUGAACUGUUAGGGUCAGAACCUAUGAACAGGGCUGAACUUCCAGCCAGGGCUCACAUGUAUGCUGUUUGGCCGGCAUCCAAGCUCACUGGGCAGUGCCCCUGCCAUAUUAGCUGCCACAUAGUUCAAACAUCACCCCUGCGUGUUGUCUCUCUUGUCUCUGCCCGCCUGCCUUGGAGUCUCCAUUCUCCUUCUGAGCCGACAGGAAUAUCACUGCAGCACAGAAGGCAGGCUCAUGCUUCUGGAAGCUCUGGCACACUGUCUUGCUGUUUCAUGUCAAGAAUAGCUCAUCCCUGCCCCCAUCACCUCCCCCUCCUCAGAAGUGGCUAGAAGGUCUAACAAAUGCCAGCUUUAUUGAGGAUGUGGCAGGUGGAACCCUCAUACAUUGCUCGCAAAAUUGAAAACUAUUGGCAAAACCGUUUGGCAAUAUUUACAAAACCUAAACAUCUGAAUGAAUAGCCUGUAACCAAACAGUGCCUUGCCCAGGUAUACACUCCAAAGAAAUAAGAACUUAGUCCACCAGAAGGCACACACAAACCCAGCCAAAGCAACUUUUAACAGCUUCAAACCAGAAAUGCCACAGAUGUCCACUCGCAGGAGAAAAGAUGAAAGAAACCAGAACACUACACAAUGACGAAUAAUACACAACCGCAACCCACAACAGUGUAGAAGAAGCCAGACCCCACAGCAUGCAGUGGGUGCACUGCAUGUGUCACUGUAGUGACUGCACACGGACGACUGCAAUCCAGGAAAGCAAAUCCAUCACCACACAGCGAUCCAAAGCAGUCCUUGCCCACUCCGCCCUGAGUGCUCAGUCACAGGAGCUUGUUCCCAACUCUGGCCCUGCCUGUGUGUUAUCAGGAGGCUCGCCUCACUUCUCCAAGCCUGGGUGUCAUCUGUAAAAUAGAGCCAUAGAACCAAUCCACAGGACGUUGGAGAAGAUGAGAUUUAAGACCAGACACGGUGUAAGCCUCCCGGGCAGGUCAGCCUGUCGUUACAGAAGUGUGGCAGCUCCCUGUAUUUUCCCUUUCCCUACCCACUUAAGGCAGAGCUUGGCUCAUUGCCACUGCCUCAGAGGAGAGAAGUCAGACCAGAGAAGCCUGCGGCCAUUAAACAUUUCUCGGUUUGGCUUUUGUUUCCAAAACCCCCAGGUAGGAGGAGGAGGAGGAACAGAGAGAGACCUGUAUGUCCCAGAAUCAUGGGGUAGUUGUGCAGUGCGGUCACCAACCGAGGAUCCCCGGCUGAGAGCAUGAUGAGUGGGCCUGUGUUCCACCUGCACUGUUCCCUGGGCCCGUCCCCACUCCCGACCUUAUAUGACCUGCAUAGGAGCACACCGAGCUAGCAGGAGCCACCAGACCAGAGGGAACAGUCUGGCCUGGCUUGAAGGGGAUGGAGAAGUGCUGGGCCACUGAGGCAGCCAUGGCCAGCAUCUGUGUGUCUCUUCCUCCCCAUCCCCAGAGCACCCACGUGUCCAUGGCUGUCAGCUCCUGUAACUGCCCGGAAAUGACACCCAGCCACCAGAGAGUCUCCAGACCCCUGUCUGGGGGCAGGCCAGGAGUGUCAGGAUUAAUGCCCCUGGGAGCAGCCCUCAGCAGUGACAGGGAACGUGGAUAA